GUCUAGGGAGGGAGGGUGGUUGGUGCUAGAGGGCAGUGCCAGCCUCCCUGGGCUCACCUGGAGAAGCAGGGGCUUACAGUGAGCCUCCCUUGUGGCAUUUUAACUCACUUGAAGCCACGUGGCUAAAGAAUUCGUGUCGUUGCAGGAGAUAGGAUGUGGGUGCUUACUGCUCCUUCCUGCCCCAAGAGCUUGUUUUAGUCUUUUUUUUUUCUCUUUUUCUCGCUGCCCCCACCUUCCUCUCGUAACCCCUUAAGCCCAGAAGUUCUGGUUUUCUACCUCUUUCCCCUAUCACAAAUUGAAGUGCACUUUAUGACUAAAACUUUCCCUCAAAUUCUUUUAUUGCUGCCCGAAAUUGAUUUGGUGAAGGAGGUCUAGAUGCUUUUUUAAGCGGACCAGAAUUUUAUUUUGUAGGUGCCUGUCGAAGAAAUAAGAGGUCUAUCCACGAUGCUGUGUGCAUCAAUAGGGAGUAAUCUUCCACUUAUUAAGACAUGCUACAAACUGUUUUAGGAGCAUGUACUUGUAAACUAGAAUAAGAAGAAGCCAAUGGGGAAAAGACACAGUAGGGUGAUGAAGACAGAAAGAAAGGAAAACCCCUACAAGCACCAAGAGACAGGAAGCAAGCGGCUUGUUCCCAGGAACUGGCUCUUCCUGAAGGAGCAUCCCAUAGCAUCAGGGCCACUUCCAUCACCUUACCUGCUAUACAACUCUAAAUGAAGUCAGAAUGUCCAGCACUGCUAUACUCUUGACUUGAAAAUGUUCUUAGAGAAUAAAAGAAGACAGAACCAAGUCAUCAUCCAACCACUGUGGACAGUUGUUUAAUCAGUAGGUUGUCCUGCUUCAAGAAGGCACAUCUUAAGAUAAAGUAAAUUCACAAGAGCUAAGAAUCGGCUGUUUAAUGUUGGGAAGGGGUGGACACCAAAGCCACUGUGAUGGAGUGAAUAAAAUAUGCUCUCUAGCCAGA